rnacentral:tRNA from 1 species
AUUUAAAUAGUUUAAAUAAAAUAUUAAUUUGUGGAAUUAGAGAUAUGAUUUUUCAUUUUAAAUA